rnacentral:ncRNA from 1 species
GAUAACUGGCUUGUGGCAGCCAAGCAUUUCAUAGUGAUGUCGCUUUUUGAUCCUUCGAUGUCAACUCUUCCUAUCAUUGUGAAGAAGUCACCAAGCAUUGGAUUGUUCACCCACUAAUAUGGAACGUGAGCUGGGUUUAGACAGGUU